GUGCCUAUGGUGUAACGGUUAACACUCGAGCUUGUGGAGCUUGCAAUCAGGGUUCGAUUCCCUGUAGGCACC
rnacentral:tRNA from 1 species